UACAGCAGCGGAGGGGUGAUACUUGGUUGAUACUCUAAGUACCGGCGAUAUCAUUUCUGCUAGUCACUAGAUAAUGCUCAGGGAAGAGACGUCUGUUCUCGAUCGUCAGUAUUCGUACUGUUCUGACUAAAGUGUUCCGUCUGUGAUUCCAUUAUGAACCAUUGGUCACCCGUGUGGCGAUCAAUACGGGGGCGGUGAAACGGGGUGACUACUGCCUGUGAGGGUGAUUACUAUCGUGACGUGUAUGUCACGUUUAGUUCAACGAGAAUCCUUCUCGAAAGCGAAACAAAAUAAUUCUUGUAGGAGAAUAUUGUGGUGUCGCCAAUAGCCAACGAUAAUCCAUCAAUUGAUAACACAAAAAAUUUUUCUAACGCUUUUCUAUUUCGUGUAAAAUAGUUAGCACAGACGUGCUCUCAACGAUUCUACCGGUGUCAGAAUAUACAGCUUAUGCUUUAAGAAUUUUACACACGCGUUUCGUGCAUUCGUUUGAGCUUAUCUCGAAAGCAACGCCUCUUUUCCACGCGACAAUUUUGACCGUAGUGUCAGAUCAGAGUACGAGUUAGUAUGAAACGCAUUUUCGUUCUGGAUGGAAAAAAUUGGAACACAACCGAGUUGUUUUCCAAUUGUCGCUGAGGUAUUCCAUUAACUGAUUUAAUUUUUUCGUCGCGUGUAAUGCGGCGUGCACGAGCGUGACAUAAUGUGAACGAAAAUAAAAAAAAAACGAACACGCAACACAAAAUCUAUUCCAGAUAAAAAUAAUUCACACAUCGUUGAAUACUAAUUUUGUACGUUAUCUUUUGUGAAAGAGAUAAUAACACUGUCAUAUUUGUGUUAAAUUAUGAUGACUGGAGGAGAUACUUGACACGAAAGACAAAUUGUGCAAAGAUAAAUACGAAAGGAACUUACGAGCGAGUGCUGUAAAGCAGUAUAGCAUAGUCCAAUGAGAAAAUCCAUAAAAAUGAAAAAGAGAUUAUUGUGGUGCGGUUUCGCUUUCGCUGUCGUGCUUCUUAUCCUUAUGAUUUCGACUGAGAGCAACAUCAUUCAAAGGAUACCAUUCCUCGACGUAACGACGGUCAACGAUAUCAGAUGCUACAAUGAAGAUUCGACCACAAAAGGCAUCGAUGAUUUCGAUUCGGAAACAAAUGUCAACAAACCAGUACCCGGUAGAAAUAUUUUCUUCCAUGAAACUUCUUGUUUCGGCGAAGAGGGUUUUACGUUAAAUGCUCGACAAGCCUGUGCCGUGGAAUCAGCUGCGCGGAUGAAUCCAUCGAUGACCGUAUACCUGUUGUUCAUCAGCAAGUUGGACUUCUCGAACAGCACGCGUGAGAUCGUCAGGCAUCUUUUCAACUAUCCCAAUGUCAGAAUCCAACAUAUUGAUUCGCAGAGAUACGUCAAGAAUACACCCUUGGAUGCAUGGUACUCCAGCGGCGUCCUUAAAAAAAGCCAUUGGCCAACAAGUCACAUGUCCGACAUGCUGCGUUAUUUGACUCUGUGGAAAUAUGGCGGUAUCUACCUCGAUCUGGAUGUAGUGGUCACUAGCUCGCUAGAAAAUCUAACAAAUUUUGCCGGCGCUGAAGAUUCGGACGACGUCGCUGCCGGUGUCAUGGGCUUCGAUAUGUCGAAGCUAGGUAGGCGCGUGGCUGACGCUUGCGUGCGUGAUUUCAAAAAGAAUUUUCGCGGCGAUGUCUGGGGUAACAAUGGACCUGGAGUUAUCACGAGGACGCUGCAGAAACUUUGUGCAACAAUGUAUGCACGUGAUAUGACGACCGAUCGUUGCCAUGGCUUCACCGUAUAUCCACCGUCAGUUUUCUAUCCGAUUCACUACAAAAAAUGGAAGAAGUAUUUUGAAAUAAAAGACAGUAACGCAACUUUGAAGAUAUUGAGUAAGGCGAAGGCGAUUCACGUAUGGAAUAAGUUGAGCAAAACCGAAAAGGUUCGAGUAAACAGCAAUGUACCAUAUGCCGUUAUCGCACGAAAUUAUUGUCCUUACGUUUUUAAUAACUACGGUAAAAUAUUUUAAAUCUAAACCUAAUUAGAAUAAAAAAGGAGGUUCUGUUCGACCGACAUGAUAUAUUGGAAACGUUCCACACGCGAUAUCUGUAGAACGAGUUUAUCCGAUGCAAUUGGAACAGCGAUGACAUUCGUCAAAUAAAAUUUAACGAGACAAAGGCUGAUUUAGAAAAGUAUUCCAUUCAAUGUUUUUUCUAUUGUUCUAGUCUACCAUACUUGCUGUAACGGUACACUAAUUAUCGGAUUAAAGUUUUUAAAGUAAAAUCAAUUAUAAUAUCAAAAAGAUUAUUGAGCAAUGUGAAACAUUUAUAUACCAUAUUGUAAUAUAACAAAAUUUGGAAUAUCUCAAACGACAAUUAUGUACAUAAAAUGGAUCUAUCAGUACAAAACUAAUAAAGACAACUAAUUAUUACUAAUAC
rnacentral:misc_RNA from 1 species